UUAAAAGGAACGCGCUUCCAUCAUCUCAUCUGCCUUGUAUAAAUAGCAAACAAACACAACUGGGUUUCUUCACAGCAUACACUCUCUCUAGCUAUCCAUCGCCACAUAACAAUGCAGGUUCUUACUUACACAUUGUUAGCAAUUAUGCUGUUUUUCGGAGCUUUUGGACCCGGUGCAAGAACUUGCUAUGCCGUCCGAUAUGUCAAUAAAAUGGAGCCUUCAAGAACGGGAUUCCGUGCGUUUCAGAAGAGGACAAUUCCCAAAUAUCGGGUAUUUCCUCCUGAUCCCAACAGAUCACCGCGCAGCAGAAUGCCGCUUCCACCACAACAGCGUCCACCAACGCGUCCACCACAACAACGUCCACCACCACCUGGGACCAUAUAUUAAAAUGGAUCUAAUUCGUCUUUCCUCCCUUUUCUUAGAGGGGUUCUUGUGAUUUCUAGUUCUCAACUAGGUUUGAUCUCCUAAUGUUUCGUUUCUGUAUUAAUUCUCAGCUGUUUAAGUUCCUCGCUAUCCUGUAUUGAAUAAUUUAUCAUAAGCAAAUGACUCUGUCCUUUUAUUACAGGUUUUAAUUUCUUGUUCUUUUUAAGGUACUAAUAGCGAUACUCAAACGAAAAAAAAAAAAUAUUUAUGUUUUAGAAGAGUGAGUGCCAACGAAGUAGAUACAUUCACUGAUUAAAAUCUAGAACUUACACAUGUGAUUCGUUUGCACCACCAGGCCAACUGUACAGAGGGUUAUUAUAAAACAGAUUAUGUUACAAAAUUCAAAUGUUAAUCCUUAGAGAAAAUAGCCAUGCUAAAACAAAGAAAUCUCAUCAAGAGAAGAAGAUACGCAAUAAUCUGUUCGUUCUAGGUUGACGUUUGUAAAAGGUUAAUUUAGUAGCUUCAAUUUUGUUUCGGCUACCACAAGACAAAAGUUGGUAGAAACGUUGGCCCAGAGUUUUUAAACCCAGUCAGGUGGCAGGCCUGGUUUAAGGCUCGGGUUCUGGGUUUUAACCGGGUCGCCCGAGUUAAUUUUAAUUAUUUUAAAAAUCAAAAUGACGUCGUUUUGGUUAAAAAAAAAGCAAAAGUCAAUGGGUUGCAACCAGGUUUUUUAUCGGAUUUUGCUGGGUCAAUCGAGUUACAGGGUCAACCCCCGGGUUUUGACUUUAUCUAUUUUUUUUUUAACUCGGCUCGGUUUUGGUCCUAGAUUGGCCAGGUUCGGGUCGGUUUGUUGAGCCGGAUCGAGCUUCAAAACUAUAUUUUGGCUUAGACUUGAAUAUUGAGAAUUUAGAGAAUGUGAUAUAAGUUGUUUUUUAUAUAUAUUUUUAUUUCUAGUAUUGAAAUCAGGAAAAAUAAUUAUAAUAUUGUCAAUAACAAAUUACAUAUUUCGGGGAGGUAAACGAACUAUUUAUUACCAAACCUAUCCUGGAAGCCUUGCAGCUAGAAUAUUGGGAUACAGGUGAGCUCAAUCAUGAUUGAAAAUGGGACCACCGAGAAGAAAUAGCUAUUUAAUGGCAGUGAACUCCCUAGCUAUUUGUGGAAGGACAAAAGAAACUGUAAUAUUUGGAAAAAAAGAGUAACAUUAAAGUUGAAAAUUGGAAAGCUGGAGGAGCUAAAAUUCAACCAUCAUUUCCAGGAAACUCCUGCUCUGUGUCGGCUGCAAUGUUGAAUUUUUGGCAGCCAUUCAACUACCAAGAAUGGUUUAAUUUAAGUAUUUAGGCUCAUAUUAAUAGAUAAAUUAUUGAUUCACGCACCAAGAUUGCAUAAAUAAGUCCAAAUAGUAGGUUUUGAUCUCUAUAUCAAUUCCCAAAUGAACAAAAUUGGGAACAAAAUUUCAAACUUGAUAUGAUACUUCUACAAUUCAUAACGUUGUUGAGUUCAAAAAACUCUAAUUGUUAUCUCAAAUCCAAUAUUUAUUGCUUAAUUUGUAAAAUACAAGGUUAUAAUUUAUUUGCAUCCUUGCAAGUAUCAUUAAUAUUCGUUUUAACAGCCAAUCAUGAAGAAAAAAUUUCUACCAUAUAGGAAUUGAAAUCCUUGCAGAUUAAAGUAGUCAUCACAGGAAAAAAGCCCACGAAGAACUACUCGUCAAUUCUUGGCCCGGUUAAAGUGGAACGGGUUGCCCAGAACAAGCUAUAAUAUUAAUAAAUAAAUAAAUAAAUACCAAAGAUUAGUGAUUUGCAUUAAAAAAAUAUAACUAUUAAUUAAAAAAAUAUUUGUAAAAGUAAAAUAAUUAUUUUAUCAUUUUUAGAUAAAAUCAUUUAAUUAGCUCUUUUUCAUAAGAUUCAUUUAUUAUUAUCAUAUUAAUUAAAGACAGAUAAAUCAUUUCACAUAGAUACGUAGUAAAGUAACUUAAAUACAUUUUUAGAACAAAAAACAAAAUAGUGGUUCAGGAGCUUUUUAAUCUUUUAAUGAUUUGAUUGCAUAAUAGAAUAAUUAUAUUAAUUAAAGACAAAUAAAUCAUUUCACAUAGAUGCGUAGUAAAGUAACUUAAAUAUAUUUUUAGAACAAAAAACAAAAUAGUGGUUCAGGAGCUUUUUAAUCUUUUAAUGCUUUGAUUGCACAAUAGAAUAAUUAUAUUGCCCUUAAAAGUAAAAAAUAAAAAUGUGGUCCAGAGGUUUUUUCAUCUUUUCAUCAUGGUUUUUUAGUUAUAAUCAAUUUAAAUGGGAGAAAUUUAGUCUUUUAACAAAUAUAAAUAUAACUAAAAAAAUAAAUGUCCUUAUUAUGUGCUCUCAGGGUGACGUGUGCGAGUCUUCUAGUGGUAUUGAAUUUUUAUAUUUGAUUUGGCCCUUCUUCUUUUAAUUGUUAUUUUUUUAAUUUUUAUUAUUUUCUUGAUUAUUAUUUUUAAUUUCAUCCCUUAUCAUUUAAUUUCAUUUAAUUUUCUAAUCCUAUAUGAUCCUCAUUCUUUUUAUUGUUAUUUAUUUUCAAUUUAUUCCCUUAUUAUUUUCUUUUAUUUAGUUUUAUACCAAAUUUAGUCCUUAUUGCUUUGAUUUCUAUUUGUUAUAUGUUUUCAUUUAUUUUUUGCUUUAUUAUUAAAUAAAAUUGUUAAGAUUUUUAAAAAAUAUUUAGAGACCGAGCCAAACCGAUUUUGGUAUUGACUGGUUCGAUUUUGGAUUCAUAAGCCUAAAAUAAAAAAAAACCAAACUAAACCAAACUAAAAUUAAUAAAACAACCAAAUUGAAAAAAAACCGAGUCAAACCGCAACCAAACCCCUUAGAAAUUACAAAAAAAACCCAAAAAAUAAUAUAGUUUUUGGUUUUAAAUAUAAAAUAACCAAACUGAACUGAACUGAACUGAAACUUGUCGGUUAAUUUGAACCAGUUUCGGUUUUGUUUUGUUUUUUUUUUAAAAAAAUUUGGUUUAGUUAUUUUUUUAAGUAAAAACCGAACCGAAAUGAAAAUAAUCACCGCUACCCAAAGUUAGUCAAAUCAGGAUUCUUAUCUCUUACAAUAGGUGUUGAAAUAGGAAAAAAACAAUGAUUUUUUUGCAACGUUUUAUUCUAAUAUAUGGAUCUCCGAGUGGGCGGGAUUACGGUAUUGUUUAGUAUUGUAUUAGCGAUUAUUUUAAAAAUAUGUUUUUGUUUUAUAAUAUAUAAAAAUAAUAUUUUUUUUAUUUUUUAAAAUUUAUUUUUAACAUUUAACAAAUUGAUUAAAAAACAUCAAGACAAAAUAAUUUUAAACAAUUUUUUAAAAAUUAUUUUAAUAAACACGCAAUGAGAAAGCUUCAUUUCCAAACAAGUUCUAAAGAUCAUUUUGCCCUUGGCACCUAAAAGUAUAUUUCAAUUUGGUUCUUUCUUUUCAAAGUUUUCUACAAGUUAAAGUAGAGUUUUUAAACUCGAUCGAGUGAUCUACCUUGUUAUUUGUUUAAGAUGGUGGUUUGUUUCGAUGGUUUGCUCAGUUUCAAAGUGGUGAGAGCAAGUGGAGAAUGUUAGUUUUUUUGUUUGUUUUUAGCACUAAAAAAGGUGGAUAAUAUAACAAAGUUUAAGAAAUAUUUAGAAACAUAAUAGAUUUAUAGCAUCACAUAUGAUCAAGUCAUAAGUGUUAUUUAUUAGUUGCAAGUCGUAAGUGUUAUUUAUUAUUGUUUAAAUUUUAAAAAUAAACUGAUAUAAUUUACAAUAAAAAAAAAGAGAGGAAAAAGAAAAAAUAAAAAAAAAGAUAAAAAAAAAGAGAAAGAUCUUGAAGACAUAUCAAAAUUUUGAUAACGAUAUAAUUGGUACCGUUAAAAAGAUAUCAACGAGACAAAUCCAACGACAUCUGAGAAGGUUAUGAACAGUGAUCACUGUGUAACACACAAGUCAUCCAAAUAUGUCGGGGCUUAUCUGUCUUUGAACAACUCGUGUGGCUCAUUCCGAUUACCAUUGGUGACCUCCCUUGAAAUUGUUAGAUUUGUUUUAUCAAAAUAUUUUCAACAAUAUCGAUGAUGUCAUUAUUAGAGCUUCAAUAUGCCUUCGUGGUAUUUUUCUCAUUAUUAGAGCUUUAAUAUGCCUUCGUGGUAUUUUUCUUUCUUUUUCUUUCUCCUUUCUCCUUUUUUUUUUAUUGUAAAUUGUGUCCAUCUAUUUUUAGCAUAUGAGAGGGUCCUAGAUGAUAUUUGUGAUUCGCAAGAAUCGUAAAUAGUUUUUGUACAAAUAUCAUUUAUGAUUACUUAAAUUAUAUUAUUUUUUAAAAUAUUUUUUAUAAUAUGUUAUUUUAUCUAGUCUUUUGAGUAUUAAAUUAAACUUGGAAAAGAUGUUUAUGAUUCUUUAAAUUAUAUUAUUUUUAUAAAUAUUUUUUAUACUAUGUUAUUUUAUUUAUUUUUUAAAAAAUACUAAACUAAAAAAAUACUCGAGAAUAAUUACAAAUUUAUUUAUUAAAUUUGUCCUUGCAAAAUUAGCAAGAUGUAGUUUGAUCUGUUGAGUUUUAAAUUAAAUUUGGAAGAGAUAUUUGUAAAGCAAAAACCAGUUGACCAGCGUUUUUAUUAGCUUAAUUCACCUACUAAAUCCAUUUUAAUUUCCAAACAAAAUGUUGAAAGAAAAAAACGAGGAAAAGACAAAAAAAAACCUAUAAGUGAGGGGUUUUACAGUAACGUUUCUUAUAACACACUAUUAAUUAAAAUAAUGUUUUUUUAUUAAUUGAAAUAAUGCUUUUAUAACACACACACAUUAUAUACUUGUUUUUAUUAGGUUAUCUCAUUCUUGUGACAUAUGGAUCGUAUAUUUAGUGAGUUAAUCUAAUUGAUUUAUUUUUUUAAUUAUUUUUUUAAUUUUAUUAUUUAAUAUUGAGUUGAUUGAAAAUUAAGUUUUAUUAUUUAUUUUGUUUUGUUUACUUUAUAUUAGGUUAUUCUGGCCUCAUAACCCAGAAAUAAUGUUUAAUAAGUUAGCCUGAGUUGACUAAAGUUAUGUUUUGUUUUUAAUUGAUUUUUUUUUAAUUUUAUCAUUCAAUAUUAGAUCAGUUAUGAAUCGAGCUUCAUAAUCUGUUUUGAUCUGCUUUCUAUGGGGAGAUCUUGGUUUUAUGAUCAAGGUAGCAGGUUAUGGUAAUUUUAACCCAAUUAAAUUAGGUUGUUUUUUUUAAUUUUUUUACAAGAGGUUAUCUCGGUUUCAUGAACCGAAUUAUAUAUCCUUCAACAUUAAAUCUUUUUUUUAAUGGGUUGUUCUUAUCUCAUGAUGUGGUCACGAGUUUGACAAGUUAACUCAUGUUUUUUUUUUAAUUAUUGUUUUUUAAUUUCAUACUUUAAUAUUGGGUUGAUUGAUAAUUAUGUUUCAUAAUUUGUUUUGAUUAUUUUUUUUAUGGAAUUAUUAUAAUUUUAGAACUCGGAUCAUGAAUUUAACUUAACCCGGAUUGAUCUAAAUCAAUUCAAUAAAUUCAAUAUGUUAUUAACUCCAUGUUAUCUUAAAAAAUCUAGUUAUAUUUGCAAUAUGUUGGCAAAAGCAUUAAAAAAGGCAUUCUAUCCGAGUUCAUUUUUCUUUUCCCAGCAAAAUACCUUCACUAAAUAUAUUUAAAAGACCUUAGAGCCUAAACAUAUUCAAAUAAGCCCAUAAAUGAAGCCGAAAGAAGGGCUGGAGGCCCAUAUAGUGCGAGCCCUACUUUGCCUUCGUAUUAAUAGAGACUGUCCCAAAUGUAAUUAUGUCUAGUCCACACACAAACAUAUUCAGCUCAAAGUCCACACGCAGGUUGGCUUUCUCAAUACAUGGGAAUUCCAAUACUAAGAUGCAAUCUAUCAGUAACUUUAAGGGUGGAGGAUCAACUUGUAAAUGAAUUCACUUCCCAUGAUUACCAUCUUAAACUAAUUUGAAUCCAAAAUGAAAAUGGUUUCUUGGAAAAACUUCAGAUAAUAUUGUUUAGAAGCUUUUUUUUAUUAAAUAUUUGAGUUAAUUAAGGUUAAUUUUACCAUUAUAAUAUCUGAAAUUUGGGACUGAUCAAGCCCUAGAUCAGUUUCUUAAAUAUGGUUUCAUGUUUGUGAGAUGAUAAUAUGUGAUUUACAAGAAAUGCAUGCUUUACGGUGAAGUGAUUGUGUGGACAAAAAUUCUCUGGUUAAAAGAAAAGCUAAAGCAUGCAUGUUCGGAAAGUACUAUUUUAUUAUUUUAUAUGAGUAUUUUAAAUUAAAGUUAUAUCAAAUCAAUUAUUUUAAAAGAAUUAAAUGUUUAAUCAGUUAUAUUUGCUUAAUUUUCAGGUAAUUAAAUUCAUUUCUAAGUACAAACAUAUCAACAAAGAAAUUGGCAAAUCAAAUUCGAAUCCUAUGAUUGUUAUUAUUGAUAAUUAUUAAAAACUUAUAUAAUAAUUAACUUUAAAAUUUAUAAAAUUUAAUCAAGCUAUAUAAAAUCCGGCCUGAUAAUUCAUAUGAAUAAAAAAAUAAAAAAAUUGCCAAACCAGUAGAAAGAGCAAUUUGCUAGUAAACUCCAAUAGUUUGUACUUGCCGUUGAAGGGAUGCCUUCAAAAGGUUAUUUCAGCAUUAAUUCCAGCCAACGCUCUUUUUGACCUAGACUCCAUGAAAAAUUGGCCAAACUAAAUAACACGUCUUUGAAAGACCAAAAGAAGUCAGUUUAUAUAUAUAUAUAUAUAUAUAUAUAUAUAUAUAUAUAUAUAUAUAUGUUUUUCAAUACCUUAAUUCCAACUGACAUGUCGAUUAUAUAUAUAGACUAAAUUUUAGCUUAUGUAAAAGAUUUAAUAUCUUGUGUUUAACACAUAUAACUCACAAUAUGGAGCUUUGUCUUAAAAAAGAAAAGUAAAUUAAAUUUUCAAAAAACUUAGUCGUGUAAUUAGUUACAAUAAGCUAAUCCUUUUAUAAUUUUUUAUUUGAAUAUUAAAUCAUGCUUAAAUUUUAUAAAAAUAUUUUAUCAGCAUGGUUCUGUAAAAGAAUUAGCUUGUUGUAAGUAACUAUAAUAUGAAAGAUUUUUGUAUUAAAUUUAGAAAAUGUUGUUCAAGUUAGUUUUGUUAUUUUCCUUUUUUUAAUUUUUUUAGGAUUUUUAUAGUUUUUUUUUAUUCUCAGGUUUUCUAGUUUUUUUUUAAAAAGUAUUUGAUAAUAAAAUUCUAAAGUAAAUAGAAUUAUGUAUUAUUUGUAUUUGUUGCAUCACAUGUGAUGUAUCAAUCUGAAUGUGGAAACUUCUCACCAACUAAAGGAACAUGACUGGUUACGCCUUCAAAGCCUUCUUCCAUCGUCUGCCUUGUAUAAAUAGCAGACAAACACAACUGGGUUUCUUCACAGCAUACACUCUCUCUAUCCAUCCAUCGCCACAUAACAAUGCAGGUUCUUCCUUACAUAUUGUUAGCAGUUAUGCUGUUUUUCGGAGCUUUUGGACCCGGUGCAAGAACUUGCUAUGCCGUCCGAUAUGUCAAUAAAAUGGAGCAUUCAAGAACGGGAUUACGUGCGUUUCAGAAGAGGACAAUUCCCGCAGGUGGGAGAUAUCCAGCUCCUGAUCCCAACGGACUGCACCGUCUAGCGCCACCGUCUUCCUAAAUCGUCUUUCCUCCAUUUUCUUAGAGGGGUUCUUGUGAUUUCUAGUUCUCAACUAGGUUUGAUCUCCUAAUGUUUCGUUUCUGUAUUAAUUCUCAGC
rnacentral:lncRNA from 1 species